rnacentral:tRNA from 1 species
GCCAGCCUAGCUCAUUCGGUAGAGCAGCUGAUUCGUAAUCAGCAGGUGAAGAGUUCGAUUCUCUUGGCUGGCUCCA